rnacentral:misc_RNA from 1 species
UGCAGCCCACUGCAGCAUGCGUGAGAGGGCGUGGGGGCCUUGCCGGUAGCGUACCCAACGCAGGCAGCUGCCUUUGCGUCCACAGUGCUGCAUGGAACUGCAGCCUGGCUUACAUUGGCGAGGCAGAAGAGGAAGGAGAGGAGGAAGAGAACAGAAAAGAAGAUUUUCUUCAUGGUUAGCUAUGUUUGAUGGUUAACUCUACUAACGGACUCUUUUAUGCUACUUGAGGGAGUAGUAGACUAGCUUUGGUAUGGGAAAUGUGGGUGUGGUUGAUGGGUUUUUAUAGGGAAAGAUGGG